UUUCAAAAUGCUGAGUUCCAACAGGAGAAAACAAGUGGAAUUAAAAAAAACUCCUGGCAAUGGAUUCGAACUCAGGACAGGUUGGUUCAAACGCGCGGCCACAGGGAAACCCUAGAAGACGAACCAGACGGUGGAACGGGGUGGUUUCCACCGUCUUCCCCGACGAAGCCACGGCGGUGCAACAUUAACUUUUCCCCAGAAUUCAUCAUGUUAUAUAUGGAUCAAACCGUCUCAUCAUGUACAUCAAGAAUAUCAC
rnacentral:lncRNA from 1 species